rnacentral:lncRNA from 1 species
CAACAAGUCUGUAAGCGCAACUUCUCCUAAACAGAUUAAUCAAUAUUGAUGAAACUUUACACAGUUUUUGUACACAACCUGUAGAUGUGCAUGAAGGAAGAUAUUUCUGGUAAGAUUUUUUUCAAGGGAGAUAAGCACAACUCCUCCUAAAUGACUGUACCAAUAUUAAUUAAACUUUACACAGAUCCAGUACAUGACCAGAGAAUGUGCAUAAAGGAAG